UACGGAGGGUGCGAGCGUUGUCCGGAAUCACUGGGCGUAAAGGGCGCGUAGGCGGCUCAUGAAGCUGUGGUGAAAGUCCGGGGUUCAACCUCGGAUCGGCCGUGGCGACUCGUGGGCUGGAGCACUGUAGAGGCGGGUGGAAUUCCGGGUGUAGCGGUGGAAUGCGUAGAGAUCCGGAAGAACACCAGUGGCGAAGGCGGCCCGCUGGGCAGUGGCUGACGCUGAAGCGCGACAGCGUGGGGAGCAACAGG
rnacentral:rRNA from 1 species